AUUGAACGCUGGCGGCAGGCCUAACACAUGCAAGUCGAGCGGAUGAAGGGAGCUUGCUCCUGGAUUCAGCGGCGGACGGGUGAGUAAUGCCUAGGAAUCUGCCUGGCAGUGGGGGAUAACGUCAGGAAACGGGCGCUAAUACCGCAUACGUUCUGAGGGAGAAAGUGGGGGAUCUUCGGACCUCACGCUAUCAGAUGAGCCUAGGUCGGAUUAGCUAGUUGGUGGGGUAAAGGCCUACCAAGGCGACGAUCCGUAACUGCUCUGAGAGGGUGAUCAGUCACACUGGAACUGAGACACGGUCCAGACUCCUACGGGAGGCAGCAGUGGGGAAUAUUGGACAAUGGGCGAAAGCCUGAUCCAGCCAUGCCGCGUGUGUGAAGAAGGUCUUCGGAUUGUAAAGCACUUUAAGUUGGGAGGAAGAGCAGUAAGUUAAUACCUUGCUGUUUUGACGUUACCAACAGAAUAAGCACCGGCUAACUUCGUG
rnacentral:rRNA from 1 species